AUUGAACGCUGGCGGCAUGCCUUACACAUGCAAGUCGAACGGCAGCACGGGUGCUUGCACCUGGUGGCGAGUGGCGAACGGGUGAGUAAUACAUCGGAACAUGUCCUGUAGUGGGGGAUAGCCCGGCGAAAGCCGGAUUGAUACCGCAUACGAUCCACGGAUGAAAGCGGGGGACCUUCGGGCCUCGCGCUAUAGGGUUGGCCGAUGGCUGAUUAGCUAGUUGGUGGGGUAAAGGCCUACCAAGGCGACGAUCAGUAGCUGGUCUGAGAGGACGACCAGCCACACUGGGACUGAGACACGGCCCAGACUCCUACGGGAGGCAGCAGUGGGGAAUUUUGGACAAUGGGCGAAAGCCUGAUCCAGCAAUGCCGCGUGUGUGAAGAAGGCCUUCGGGUUGUAAAGCACUUUUGUCCGGAAAGAAAUCCUUGGCUCUAAUACAGUCGGGGGAUGACGGUACCGGAAGAAUAAGCACCGGCUAACUACGUG
rnacentral:rRNA from 1 species